rnacentral:rRNA from 2 species
GUCUGCCCGAUUUAAUGGACAGUCUGGCCUGCCCACUGAUAUAAUUAAAGGGCCGCGGUAUCCUGACCGUGCGAAGGUAGCAUAAUAAUUAGUCUUUUAAUUGAAGACCGGAAUGAAAGGUCGGACAAAAAGCAAUCUGUCUCAACUUUACACGUUUAAAUUAACCUUUAAGUGAAAAGGCUCAAAUAUACUUGAAGGACGACAAGACCCUAUAAAACUUUAUCCAUUAUAUAUACCUCCCCAAUUAUUUAUAAAAAGUUAGGUAUAUAAAAAUGUAUUACGUUGGGGCGACGAAGGUAUAACAAAUAACUGCUUUUACUCACAAACAAUUAUAUUUGAAAAACUGAUCCAUUUUAUUGAUCUUAAGAAAAAGUUACUUUAGGGAUAACAGCGUUAUUUUUUUUGAGAGUCCUUAUCGACAAAAAAGUUUGCGACCUCGAUGUUGAAUUAAGAUAACCUAAUAGUGCAGCAGUUAUUAAGGUAGGUCUGUUCGACCUUUAAAAUCUUACAUGAUUUGAGUUCAAACCGGUGCAAG